UACGUAGGGGGCAAGCGUUGUCCGGAUUUAUUGGGCGUAAAGCGCGUGUAGGCGGCUAAGUAAGUCGGGCGUGAAAUCCCACGGCUCAACCGUGGAAGUGCACUCGAAACUGCAUAGCUAGAGUCCUGGAGAGGAAGGUGGAAUGCUUGGUGUAGAGGUGAAAUUCGUAGAUAUCAAGCGGAACACCGGUGGCGAAGGCGGCCUUCUGGACAGUGACUGACGCUGAGACGCGAAAGCGUGGGGAGCAAACAGGG
rnacentral:rRNA from 1 species